rnacentral:tRNA from 1 species
GGUCCCUUAGCUCACGGGGCAGAGCGGCCGGCUCAUAACCGGCGGGGCUGCGUUCGAGUCGCAGAGGGACCACCA